rnacentral:rRNA from 1 species
AUUGAACGCUGGCGGCAUGCCUUACACAUGCAAGUCGAACGGCAGCACGGGUGCUUGCACCUGGUGGCGAGUGGCGAACGGGUGAGUAAUACAUCGGAACAUGUCCUGUAGUGGGGGAUAGCCCGGCGAAAGCCGGAUUAAUACCGCAUACGAUCUACGGAGGAAAGCGGGGGACCUUCGGGCCUCGCGCUAUAGGGUUGGCCGAUGGCUGAUUAGCUAGUUGGUGGGGUAAAGGCCAACCAAGGCGACGAUCAGUAGCUGGUCUGAGAGGACGACCAGCCACACUGGGACUGAGACACGGCCCAGACUCCUACGGGAGGCAGCAGUGGGGAAUUUUGGACAAUGGGCGAAAGCCUGAUCCAGCAAUGCCGCGUGUGUGAAGAAGGCCUUCGGGUUGUAAAGCACUUUUGUCCGGAAAGAAAUCCUUGGCCCUAAUACGGUCGGGGGAUGACGGUACCGGAAGAAUAAGCACCGGCUAACUACGUG